rnacentral:rRNA from 1 species
UGGGGAAUAUUGCACAAUGGAGGGAACUCUGAUGCAGCGACGCCGCGUGAACGAAGAAGGCUUUCGAGUCGUAAAGUUCUUUCAUAUGGGAAGAUAAUGACGGUACCAUAAGAAAAAGCCUCGGCUAACUACGUGCCAGCAGCCGCGGUAAUACGUAGGGGGCUAGCGUUGUCCGGAAGCACUGGGCGUAAAGGGUUCGCAGGCGGAAAUGCAAGUCAGGUGUAAAAGGCAGUAGCUUAACUACUGUAAGCAUUUGAAACUGCAUAUCUUGAGAAGAGUAGAGGUAAGUGGAAUUUUUAGUGUAGCGGUGAAAUGCGUAGAUAUUAAAAAGAAUACCGGUGGCGAAGGCGACUUACUGGGCUCAUUCUGACGCUGAGGAACGAAAGCGUGGGUAGCAAACAGG